rnacentral:lncRNA from 1 species
UUUGGAACUUAGUACUCUUUUGGAAGUUAUUCUUGUACACUAGGAGUUAACUGGCUGCAGUUUUGCUAGCAGAAGAGAUUGUUCAGUGUUAUUGUUUUUAACACCAGCAAGGAUAAAAGAAAGAAUAUUCUUUAAUGAAGACUUACAAAAUUUUUAGGGAAACAGAUAGAAGUAUUCAGUAUUACAGCCUUGGAUGGACCAAGUAGGAGCUUCAGUCAUGGCUUGAUAACUCUGAGAUGAAGGCAAGACAGCACAGCCAAAUCAAGACUUUUCUGAUGGCCACAUCUGUCUGAGGAACCCAAGGCAUAAAGACCUGAAGGGCACAAUGAAGUCCUGCCAACUGAAAAAACUGCUGAACUCAGGCCUGGGAUUUUUUUUUUUUAAGCUGAGUUCCUAAACACUCACUGACAGCUGGCCAGAAAAACCGAUUAGAAAAUUGUCAUGAUGGUCAUGCUAUCUGAAUGCUCAUCAACUAACUAUUGAUGUAG